UCUGACCUGGAGCACUUUCCCCUGGCAGGCUUGCCCGCUGUCCGGCCGCCGCCGGCCACCCCGAGCCCUGCCUAGCUCCGGUAUGCUACUGUUUUAAGUUCCAGCACUGUAGUUUAGGGUUCCGGUCACCUUUCGGGCGAUCCGAAGGUACCCCGAUGACAGUGGAAGUGAGCACGAUCAUCGUUACUCCGUGCUGAGCAUCGUUCUCACCUCCAUCGGGGUCAACGGUUCCCCGGUUUGCGUGUUAGACGCGAUUUAGAUACCAUGCGCGCUGUUUCGCUGAAGUUCGCUUCAUGCGCGCGCCCUCCACAGUGGCCGGAAUUGCUCCGAAAGGUGAGCACGGCCUCCGGCACGUCGAGACCUGUCAGUAGGUGUCUCGGUUUGGCUGCAUGACUCCUGGUUUGUGUAGACGGACCAUAAAAGCGCCGAAAUCGCAUGAAAUAAUGCGAUUUCGGGUAUUCGGACGGGCUUUUAUGCAACUUUGUUCGUCGUGGUUGCUGUUGGCAGCAAGUAUGGGCUAAGGAUAACCUCUGGACUGAUCGUCCAAGGCCCCAAGCCUUUGCGGGAAUCAAAAAGUGAUUUCCGGUGCGUUUCUCGGCGAAAUCCGCCGACGGAAUGCGGGUUCGGUUCGGAAUUAUUCCGACGGUGCUUCGUGAGCUGAUGUGUAGUCGUCGAGCCUUAUUGGCUGGUCACCCGUGUCAUUUCGAAGGUUCAGAAAUGACGGGUGAGCGAUGGUGGGUUCCGGUGUCGAAAUAGACACUUCCGGGAACCCGGAUCGGAAUAAUUAUCAGACGAUAAUCGUUUCGAUGUGAGGCUAGGUGUUUGCUGCCAAGAACCAUGAAUAAUGGCGUUUAAUGGCAGCGUGUGACUCGUAGUGCGAGUCGGUGAGUUCCGGGACAGUCCGUGGGUCCCGGCAGAGUCUCGGUGCAGUUUUCGGGAUUUCCGGUUUGUUCGGUAAUCGGUUUUGGGAAACCGAUCUCCGUGGGAUUGUUGUGGGUUGUGUAUUCAGUGGUUUAUUUGUGGGAUUAUGCUUUUAAGGGUUUCUUAGUCGUGGGUUAGACACUAACCCAGUGGACCCUCCUUAGGUCCUGUUGACGUUCUUUUGCAGUCAGGUGACAGGCGCGACAGUUGUACAGGUGGGUACUUCGAUCCGACGUCGGUACAGUGGUGCACGUUCGGUGAUGGUUUC
rnacentral:lncRNA from 1 species